GCUUGGGUGGCUCACUCAGUUAAGCGUCUGACUUCGGCUCAGGUCAUGAUCUCACAGUUCGUGGGAUCGAGCCCCACAUCAGGCU
rnacentral:tRNA from 1 species